rnacentral:rRNA from 1 species
UACGUAGGGGGCAAGCGUUGUCCGGAUUUAUUGGGCGUAAAGAGCGUGUAGGCGGUUUGGUAGGUCCGCUGUGAAAACUCGAGGCUCAACCCCGAGACGCCGGUGGAAACCAUCAGACUAGAGUCCGGAAGAGGAGAGUGGAAUUCCUGGUGUAGCGGUGAAAUGCGCAGAUAUCAGGAAGAACACCCGUGGCUAAGGCGGCUCUCUAGUACGGUACUGACGCUGAGACGCGAAAGCGAGGGGAGCGAACAGG